UUUUUGUAGAGAUGGGGUCUUGCUAUGUUGUUCAUGCUGGUCUUAAACUCCUGGCCUUAAAUGAUCCUCCUGCUUCAGCCUCCCAAAAUGCCAGGGUUACAGGCAUUAGGCACCACACCCUGCCAUAUGGCACUUUUGAGAUUACUUGAGGAUGUGCAUAUGCACAGAGUGGUGAAGAAAAUUCGAGUUGUUCAACAUGCACUGUCACAGACUGAAUGUUUGUGUCCCUUCCUGAAUUCGUUUGUUGACAUCCAAAUCCCCAAUUAGGAGACAGGGCCUUUGGUAAGUGAUUAAUUCAUGAGGAUGGAGCCCUAAUGAAUGGGGUUAGUACCCUUAUAAAAAGACACUGCAGAGCUCCCUCUUCUUUUCCGCCUAUGAGGACAUAGUGAAAAAAUGGCAGUCUGUGAACCAGGAAGUGGGCUCUUAACAGAUACUGACUCUGCUGGCACCUUGAUCUUGGACCUCCCAGCUUCCAGGACUGUGAGAAAUAAAUUUCUGUUGUCAACUACGUUAAGUUAUUUUGUUAUACUAGCCGGUAGGCAUAUACAUUCACAGCUAAGGUCAAACCAGAGGACAUCUGCCUUCUUGUUUCAGCUCUCAUACUGUAAACAAGUGUCCUUUGGGGGUUUAUUGAGUGCCACAUUUUUCAUAUUUUUAUACUUUCUGUUGGUGAUUUCGGUUUACAUGGUGCCCAAGCAUAGGGCUGAAGUGCUGUCUAGUGUUCCUGAGCACAAGAAGACUGGAAUGUGCCUUACAGGGAAAAUAUAUGUGUUGGAGAAGCUUUGUUGAGGCAUGAGUCAUAGUGCUAUUGGCCGUGGGUUCAAUGUAAUGAAUCAAUGAUAAAUAUUAACUAAGGUGUCUCUAAACAGAAAUGCAUAUAAAACAAGAUUAUGUAUUGAUUACUUGAUUAAAAUGUUGUGAUCAGAGACUUGCAGAAAUGUAGCCCUGUACGUCCCCUAGGGACAAUAGUUCAGUAUUCACUAACUGUGUUCAUGGUGACUUACAGAACAUAACUACCAUGAAUCAUGACAAUCGACUGUAAGUCAGGAUACAUGCCACGCGAGGAGCUACAGAGGUGCUGAGAAUGAGUAAGAAUGAUGAUGGGGGGGAUGUCUAUUCUUAAUAGGGUGGUCAAGGAAGCCUCUUGGGGGAGGUGACAGUAAAGCUGAAACCUAAAGGAUGAAGCUGCAGAGCAGCGGGGAAGAGUGUUCCAUGCCGAGAGAACAGGGUCCGAAGGUGAGAAAGCCUUGGACUGUGUGUGUGAGGCACUGGGGCCCUGCCAGGAUAUGAUGGAGAAGUAGGCAGGGGUCAGCCCCAACAGGCCUUUUGGGCCAGGCUAGGGAGUUUGAGUUUAUUAUAAAGGCCUGGAGUAAAGUUACCUGUAGGGCAGUGAUAAUCAAGUUAUUCUCUUUUUAUUUGUGUGGGGACUCAUCUGUUUUCAUCACUAGGCCAUAGAAGUUACAGAUCAUCCCUUAUGCACCUGGUAUUUCCAGGGCCUAGGACAGAGCUGGGACCAAUCUCUGUGGGUACAAAAUGCGAAACACCAUGGGCCCACAGUACCUAUUUCAAUCCAUGUUUGUUGAUUAAAUGACCAAGCCCUGGGAUUCUGUGGCUGCAGCUGUGAAGAAAUCAUAGCAGGGAUUUUUUCCCCAGAUCCCAGAGAAACCCAGAAUUUGGGCCUCUGCUUCCCAGGCUGACUGAUAGGCCAGUGGCGUGGUGUGGGGGCUUAGCUCUGGGCUCUCAUAAAGGCAGGCCUGCCAUGCUCUUCCUCCUACCCAAGGGUGGAAGCUGGCAGGAGAUCAGACGAUACUUGGAUUCCAAGGAGCUCAUGAACAAAGGCUGUAAAGUUGCUAAGAAACUGCCUUUCUGAGGUUCACCAUGUAUUUUUGUUGUUGUUGUUCCCAUGGUGUUGUGUGUGAGUGUGAGUGUGAGCACACCCAGGGCUGUCACUCUGCCAGGCCUGAGUGAAGUCACACUCGAAGGGAAGAACUGCAGGCUGCCGUGCAGCACCACCAUGGACCCCAGGUGUCCCUAAGCUGGGCAGACCAGGCAUUGAGGAUAGCAAAAGUGGAGCCAGCUGCCCGAGGCCAGAGAUUGGCAGAGCCGUGUGCAGCUGCAGCAAGAAAGCCUUGGAUAUUGAGUGUUGGACCCACUUGCAGCAAAAACCAAGAAGCCCUGGGUUGGGAGACACCAAUAAUAGAACUGGGAGGGAGUCCCACCCCUACCCCCCAACUGAGCUUGGAAAGUAAAUUCUUAACAAAACCAGAUCAUUGCAAAAUACAAGAUGCAAGAUUCAUAGAACUCAUAAGAGUCCAGGCUGACCAUUAUCUAACUUGCCUCCUUCUCCCUGUUCUCAUGUGGAGAAUCUGAAGCCUAGGGAGGGGAAGGAACGCUCUUAAUGGGAUAUAGAAUAUAUCAAGUGCAGGAGCCCGGCCUAUCAGAAGGGCUGUGGGCUGUGAGUGGAGGGAAGAAAGGCCUGGCGUGUAUCUGAAACUAUAGUGCUCAUCCAUUUGUCCACUCGUCAAGUACUUAUUGAGCCUCUGCUAUGUUCCAGGAUGCCCUAAGCCUCAGUUCCAACCAAACAGAGAAAAGUAGAACCCAAAACUUUGAGCAAAUUGCCAGCUUCUCUGAUUGUUUCCCAAUAAGUAUGCCACCGCCAACCACCACUACCACUACCACCACCACCGCCAACCACCGCCGCCGCCACCACCGCCAACCACCACCAACCACCGCCAACCACCGCCAACCACCGCCAACCACCACCACCGCCAACUACCACCACCGCCGCCGCCAACCACCACCACCACCACCACCACCACAACAAAGCUCACACUCUGUGUCUAGCUCAGCAUCGUAGAUACCUUGGAUUCUACUCUCGCUUGCAGGCUUGGAAGGAGAAGGAACUAAAAUGGUACCUAGCAGAGUGCCUGAGUCCGAAGUGGGUGGUCUAUGCGAAGAACGAUGGAAAGAAGAAUGACACAUGAGAAGGAAGAAGGCAGCGACCACUUUAGAGAAAGUCUGGCGGUUUACUCAACAACGUUUACAAUCACAAUUGUACAUGGUAAAUCAGUCUUUCACAAAGGGUCAUUUUUCCAGGCAGGAGGAGAGGCUGGUGGUCUUGAGCUUUCGGCCUGGAAUUCCAGUCUGAAUUUCCAAAUAUUCCCUGCCUGCAACCCCUUUGGGAUCCUAGUCUUCAAGCCGUUAUUGGCUUGAUAACAUAUAACAGAUCAGGAGUCUGACCCUGUUCUGUUGCCUGGCACAGCUGAAUCAAAGCCAUUCUGGAAGCAGAUGUCAAGAUGAACUUGUCACUUGGUAUGUAGGGCCAACUCCCACCCCAGAGGUGGCAGUGGGCCUUAGCUCAAGAUCAAGUUUGAACUAAAAUAUUACUUGGAUGUUUCACAAAGAGUGUCCGUUGAAAGCAAUAAAGAAUUCCAGAACAGAACUGCACUUCUUGUCCCUCUCUCACACACUUACAAAGCUUCAGAAAACAUUACAAAUGCAUUACCUCCUAGGAAUUAUAAAAGAUCACCCAACUGUAUAAACUAGGUAUCGCUGAAGCAGGGAAUCUGAUUCCUCAGUUAUUACUGUAAAGUGCUUUGCCACUCUUUUUGAGACUCCAGAGACUAGGAAAAUGGAGACGCACAGAGAGACACAAGGAGCUGUUUUCCAAGACAUCACCUAUUUCUUAAGGGAAAAAAAAGAAAUUCAACUGAUGGGAAGUUUGAAAAGUGAAUGUCAUGUAGACUCUGGAAAUCUAUUUGCUACAUCUUCAACAGAAACCGCUCUUUCUCUCCUGGACCGACUAUCACAUCCUCUCGUCAGAUUCUUCCUGUGAAUGUACCCCGUUCUGCCUGAGCGAUUUUUUCCUAAAGGGAAGAAUCAAUAGUUUCUGAUUGUUUUAAAAGCUGAAAGCUCCAAUUGGAGGCAGAAGAUGGGAUGGCUUUUCACACACGUGCCUGCAAGGUUAGCCACCUCCAAAGACCUUGUUCUUAAAGCAACGGUGCUGUCUGCAUUAUGAAAUGUUUCUGGAGUUCACCUUUGGAAAGGCUGCUGGUGGGCCACAUGGUCACGAUACUUUCAAGUCACACCCUAUUUUGUGACCUUAUCUUCAGAGUAAAGGCUUUAGAGGAAAAGGGACCCACAGUCUCACCCAUCACCUGACUGUCAGCAUCUCUCUACGCUCCUGGCUGAGUUCUGUUGAGUAUCAGCUGGGGAUGUGAGCAGAAACCUGAAUCCUUGAGACAGGCGGUUUUCAAAAAGGAAGCCAUAACAAUGAGAGGCUUAGUACUGGCAAUUGAUCAGUUGGUCCAUCAAACGGAGACAGUCAAGUUCUGUCCUUCCUUCCCCUCCCGCAUACUUUGUCAAGUCCCAGGACCUACUGAUGUGGACUCAGCAAUGACAAAUGCCAGAGUGCUCAGAGGACACACCCAUCCCUUUUCAGGGUGUGAACCCAGACUGGAAAGGAGAACCAAAGGAUGGAAAGGCAGGCCCGGGACAGCUUGCUGCCGCUCCUGCUUUCACAGGAAUCCUGGUCAUGCCAGGAACACUGCCGCCCACUUGGGGCGAGACUAUGUGGAAGUCUAGCUAGUGCUCGGCACCCCUUAACCCAAUGGUGAGAAACAGGACAAACAUGCUGGGGUUCAGAGGGUGGACCGCAGGGAUGGCCCCCAAACAGGUCCCAGUGAGGUAAUGCAAGGCCUCCUCUCAGGGGCCGAUGAGGCCUUCUAGGCCACAGACUAAAUGCACCGCCCAGCCUUUAGUUUGGAGUGUGACUUGCACUGACUGGAAUAAAUCUGGCCUCUCACCC